UAGGCCUCCCAAAAGGUAACGGAGGCGUGCAAAGGUUUCCUCGGGCCGGACGGAAAUCGGCCCUCGAGUGCAAAGGCAGAAGGGAGCUUGACUGCAAGACCAACCCGUCGAGCAGGGACGAAAGUCGACCUUAGUGAUCCGACGAUGCCGAGUGGAAGGGCCGUCGCUCAACGGAUAAAAGUUACUCUAGGGAUAACAGGAUGAUCUUCCCUAAGAUUUCACAUCGACGGGAAGGUUUGGCACCUCGAUGUUGGCUCUUCGCCACCUGGGGCGGUAGUACGUUCCAAGGGUUGGGUUGUUCGCCCAUUAAAGCGGUACGUGAGCUAGGUUCAGAACGUCGUGAGACAAUUCGGUCCAUAUCCGGUGCGGGCGUUAGAGCAUUGAGAGGACCUUUCCCUAGUACGAGAGGACCGGGAAGGACGCACCUCUGGUUUACCAGUUAUCGUGCCCACGGUAGACGCUGGGUAGCCAAGUGCAGAGCGGAUAACUACUGAAAGCAUAUAAGUAGGAAGCCCACCCCAAGAUGAGUGCUCUCCUAUUC
rnacentral:ncRNA from 1 species